rnacentral:rRNA from 1 species
UACGUAGGUGGCAAGCGUUGUCCGGAUUUACUGGGCGUAAAGGGCGUGCAGGCGGUCUGUUAAGUUCAGGGUGAAAGCUCCCGGCUCAACUGGGAGAGGUCCUUGGAUACUGGCAGACUUGAGGGAGGUAGAGGAGAGUGGAAUUCCCGGUGUAGUGGUGAUAUGCGUAGAUAUCGGGAGGAACACCUGUGGCGAAAGCGGCGCACUGGACCAUAACUGACGCUGAGGCGCGAAAGCUAGGGGAGCAAACAGG